CGGUUGCGGCUCUGGUGUUCACUCGUGGUUCUUGUGUUGCCUACCCAUUUAGUGGUAUUCAUGUGCCUCUUAACACUUGUUCCAUCCAGAUCCCCUUCUCGGGAAUGCUGGCGGGUUCGAAAGUGAUACGUGUUUUGCAUUAGCUAUACAUUGUAAUGGCUCAUGUGCUCACAUGUGUCUAUUGUUCCCUCGGAUGCGGUGCAUGCGGUUAACGGGGCUGAUGACUGUGCCCCGUUGAGUCCCUUUGAUUUAUCGGUUGCCUUGAAUGACACUUUCUCGUAGUGUUGGUGUUGCUUUACCAUUCGUGGUUGCAAUACUUGCACGUCGAGCAGAGUUGUUGAUGG
rnacentral:misc_RNA from 1 species